GUUAGGUGCUAUCUAGAAUAUGACUACUUUGCUGAUAGCUGGUGUCUUGAAAGUUUAUUAUUCUUCCUUUUCUCUGUUUUUAGGCUGAAUCCACCGUCUAAUUUAUUCUCCAAAAAGUUGCAGAAGAGUGUUGUGGAACACCGCUGGGAGCUGAACAUAGAUAACCCAACUAGAACAGAUACGGAUGCGUUGUUGGUGUAGGCUCCCUUUGAUGCAUAACUAGAACAGAUACUGAAUUAUGCCACUCGAGUCGCAGAUAGUUUUUUGUCCACCGGGAAUUAUGCUCUUAAUAUUUCAAUCCAACGUUACAAACCCUAUGGAGUUCAAUGCCAACAGUUUGGCCAGUUGCAAAUGGUGAAUUCAGUCUCACAAACCCCACAAUCUAAUUUGGAGGUAAAUUCUCUUCACCUAAGCAGUCCUCAGGAAAGACCUUCCAGUGAGUUUUAAGAGGUAGAGUUUCAUUCUGGGCAUGAGCGUUUCUAAGCUAAUCAACAUCAUAUUUCUUCUUUUUAUGUCAAGCUUGGCCAACUUCAUACGUUUGCAGGUAAGUGCGCAUUCACGUCUAUAUUAGUUCUUAUGUAUUCGACCUACUUAAUUUGUUGUUUUUCUUUGGUAUAUGAGAAUAACCACAGAAUUGCUUUGUAUAGAAAAUAAAGUUUCUGUACUAUAGGUUGCAGUGACAUUAUUUCUUUUACUUCAAGGUGAGCAUGGUUGAUUAUCUACACUUCCCUGGCUAUAUAAGCUGAAUAAAUAUUCUUGAUUUUCUACAAAUUGUGAUUUCCCUGGCUAUUCAAGGUGAGCAUUGCUUUGUGAUUUUGGUUGCUCCAGCAAAAAGUAGGUUCAAGUAUGCCAUGUGGGGCAUAUAUUAAGCUGAUUUUCCUUUUUUUUAAUUUACCUAACUACCCCCAACGAUUGUAACCGUUGGGGUAUAUAUUAAGCUUUCCAUGUUUGAUAUAUCUUGGUUAGUUGGUUAUGUGUACUUGUGUAUCAGAUUAAGCUUUCCAUGUUUGAUAUCGUCACUUGGAAAACAAAUACAUUAGCUCAACCUGACUUACUGCAGACGAAAUUGCAAUGUUCGAUGGAUACAUUGUCGUCUACAAAUUUGUCUAGGACCUGCACUUUUUUAUCAUUGCAGGUGAUGAUGAAAAUGUACUCAUCUUAGCAACAGUUCUUCAGGGCUUCUAUGAUGCUGUCGUCAAUCUUCUCAGCUACACAACAGAAGUUGGAGAUGGAUGGUGAAGAUGGGAAGAAGAAGUCAGAGACGUGAUGAAGGAAAGGCUUGUAACGUUGAUAAGACAUGAGUUCUCCGUAGUCUUUAUUGUUCAAGUCUACUUUAUCAUGAUUGUUGGAUUUGUUAAUAAAACAUGUGUCAAACACUUGUUAUUUGUUUAAUAGAAUUGCGUUUAAAUUUAUUUA